rnacentral:sRNA from 1 species
UCCAACCCAGCAUUAAUCUGCUUCCUUACGAAUCCCGCAGGGACGACGUGAAUAUCCUGCACACCUAAUGUGUUCUGCGCCGUCAAUGCCGUCGUGGUCGUGAGGGCAUAGCAGCCAUGAGCGGUAAGCACCCGCUGGUCUGCCUCUAGGCCACUGGAUCCAUAACAGACUUGAAAAGCGACAGCGGAAAUGAAAGUUUUAAUUGAACAUACGCUCCACCAGAACUGUCCGAGCCCGCGAUUACGAGUACACGCUUUAGUUUCAUGUUUCGUAUUGAUAUAGGAGUAUUAUGUUUUGUAUGUUGGGG